rnacentral:rRNA from 1 species
AUUGAACGCUGGCGGAAUGCUUUACACAUGCAAGUCGAACGGCAGCACGGACUUCGGUCUGGUGGCGAGUGGCGAACGGGUGAGUAAUACAUCGGAACGUGCCCAGUCGUGGGGAUAACGUAGCGAAAGCUACGCUAAUACCGCAUACGAUCUAAGGAUGAAAGCGGGGGAUCGCAAGACCUCGCGCGAUUGGAGCGGCCGAUGGCAGAUUAGGGAGUUGGUGGGGUAAAGGCUCACCAAGCCGACGAUCUGUAGCUGGUCUGCGAGGACGACCAGCCACACUGGGACGGAGACACGGCCCAGACUCCUACGGGAGGCAGCAGUGGGGAAUUUUGGACAAUGGGCGCAAGCCUGAUCCAGCCAUUCCGCGUGCAGGAUGAAGGCCCUCGGGUUGUAAACUGCUUUUGUACGGAACGAAAAGGCUCUGGUUAAUACCUGGGGCUCAUGACGGUACCGUAAGAAUAAGCACCGGCUAACUACGUGCCAGCCGCCGCGGUAA